UACAGAGGGUGCGAGCGUUAAUCGGAAUUACUGGGCGUAAAGCGCACGUAGGCGGAUCUUUAAGUCAGGGGUGAAAUCCUGGAGCUCAACUCCAGAACUGCCUUUGAUACUGGGGAUCUCGAGUCCGGGAGAGGUGAGUGGAACUGCGAGUGUAGAGGUGAAAUUCGUAGAUAUUCGGAAGAACACCAGUGGCGAAGGCGGCUCACUGGACUGGUAUUGACGCUGAGGUGCGAAAGCGGAUGGGGAGCAAACAGGGGAUU
rnacentral:rRNA from 1 species